AUCAUACAAAGGCUUAAACAAAGCCCCAACUUUAGAUUUACAGAAAUAAAGAAGCCAAAAGAAAGGCCCAUCAGAUAACCAGACUUCUGCAGAAGCAAUUCUAUCUGAACUCCAUCCAUGGAACGUGUCGACAACCGGAUAUACCACGUCACACGCUGGAUGAGUAAUCAAAAGUUUUCCGGCAACAACCUUCGCCGUUGAGCGCCGAUUCCGGUAAGAAAUCUUCGCUGAUAUGAAAUCAAACGUUGAUUCUUGUGUUUUGCACCGGAAUGAAGACAUCAAAACUCCAAAUUAAAAGAUAACAGCUUAAGGCAUCGUGAUAAGCGAUGGAAGAAUCUUCUAUUCUCCAACAUAAGAUGGAAAUCUCCUUGAAACCAUUCUGCAAACCCGAGUUCAAAAGAAAACGAUCCGGCGAAACCCAUCUUGAAGAGACAAGAAACAAUCCAGAUCUAAAAACUCAAAAGACAUAUUGGAGAAGAACUACCGUUAACGGACAGAUAAUCAUCCCCAACAUAGAUCCAAUGAGAUUAUUAGCAAAAACAUAACAAAUUUAGAAAGUAAAGAGAAACGAUACCGGCCAUCGCCACUAGAAAAGCUGAUCGAUGCCGGGCAGGAGCUAGCCACCGUUGCUGGAGAAGCCAAUCGGUGCCAGACGAGAGCCGACCAUCACCGUUGUGGAAAACGGAAGAUGCCGGACAUAUAGCCGGAUAAACACCGGACGGCGAGAAGAAGAACGCAUUCUCUCUCUCGUUCUUCUUCUUCGUUUCUGCGCAAAAUUUUUUUUUUUUUAAUUCAAAACCAAACCGUAAAACAAAGAAAAAGUAACUAAACCGAAACCA
rnacentral:lncRNA from 1 species